rnacentral:rRNA from 1 species
CCCUUAGAUGUUCUGGGCUGCACGCGCGCUACACUGAAGCGUUCAACGAGUAUUCACCUUGCCCGGGAGGGUUGGGUAAUCUUUUGAAAACGCUUCGUGAUGGGGAUAGAUUAUUGCAAUUAUUAAUCUUCAACGAGGAAUUCCUAGUAAGCGCACGUCAUCAGCGUGCAUUGAAUACGACCCUGUAUUCUGUACACACCGCCCGUCGCUCCUACCGAUUGAAGUUUUCGGUGAGUUGACAGGAGGAUUUUUUUGAAACUGGUUCGCCAGUGGAUUUUAGAUCCAAAUGCCAACGAAUCGAUGGCUUUAGAGGAAGGAGAAGUCGUAACA